GCCUGGGUGGCUCAGUCGGUUGAGCGUCUGACUUCAGCUCAGGUCACGAUCUCGCGGUCCGCGAGUUUGAGCCCCGCGUUGGGCU
rfam:Felis catus isolate Cinnamon breed Abyssinian chromosome D1, whole genome shotgun sequence.